CUGAAUCUCACCUGAGAAAACUGCCGGUCGAAAACCUUCAGAGAAUUUUUUUUGCAGAUCGAAGAAACGAAAAACUAAAACAGUCCUUUUUUGAUCAAAGAAGAAGACGAUGAAAGAAGAAGAAGACGAACUGAGAUUCAGAUUCAAUUUACAUUUUGUGAAGUAAAAUGGUG